ACCAAUUUCAAAAACCCUUGCGGAGAAUGGCUGAACCGACGCAGCACACAUUUAAAUCCUGAGAACAUCCUGUUUGGACUGGAUGAUAGAGAAGUGAAGAUUGGUGACUUUGGUCUGGUCACCAGAGAUGAUGACGCUUUGAUGGACAGAACAGAGAACAGAGGAACCAGAUCUUACAUGGCCCCUGAACAAGUGGGGGAGACCUAUGCUCGACAUAUUUGCUCUGGGGUUGAUAUACUUGGAACUCCUGUGGAAAGUCUCUUCUGGCCAUGAAAGAGGAGAGGUUUUACAAAAUGCAAGAAAACUAAUUCUCCCAACAAACUUUUCACGGGCCUUCCAAGAAGAGAACCUAAUCAUCAAGAAAAUGCUGCAUGAGAAGUCAGAGGAUCGACCUGAAGCAAGUGAACUGAAGGCACAGCUGGACAAGUUGGCUCAGACAGAAAAUGAGCCUCAGAAAAGGGCAACGGUGUGAUUAUCACAACGAUUUGUGACAAGUCUUCUGAGGGUAAUGAGAUCUGUCUGUCAUCUGUGGCCUGUACUACGAAGCCGGAUUUUCGCUUAGCGAGGUAACAUCAGGGUUAACUCUGGGUUUCCGGUCCUACGACGCUGGUUCACUUCUUACCGGGGUCAUGACCGGGGUAGAUCUCCAUGGUAACUUAUGCUCAGUGAAAGCACCGCCUGCUGACCAAUCAGAGCUCAGUGUGCAGAGUUUAAAGCUAUCAAGUCAUAUUACAGGAUAAAGGAAAUACAGUUUAAACUGCAGUUGAAGGAAAGAUGGCUGGCAAAAAUCACCGACUGUGUGAAUGUGAAAAUUAAUAGAAUAUCACCUCCCGUCAGAGCAAUCUAGAAAGCUUACUUAAAUAUCUGCCACAACAUAAGUAACUGGAUCAAAGUAUCAUAAUUUAUAUCUAAUUACAUUAACUGUGAAUGUUCUUCAUUUUAUUUCAAAUAAAAUAAAAUAACAAAAGA